rnacentral:rRNA from 1 species
GACGUAGGGUCCGAGCGUUGUCGGAGUUACUGGGCGUAAAGGGCGCGUAGGGCGGCUUUGUGCGUUCACCCGGUGAAAGCCCCCGGCUGCAACCGGGGACGGGUCGGGUGAAACGGCGGAGCUGGAGGCAGCGAGAGGCGGUGGAAUUCCCGGAGUAGUGGGUGAAAUGCGUAGAGAUCGGGAGGAACACCGGUGGCGAAGGCGGCCAGCUGGCGCUGACCUGACGCUGAGGCGCGAAGCGUGGGAGCGAACGGG